rnacentral:rRNA from 1 species
AUGGAGAUCCUUGAACAGACCGAUGGUGAUAGCACAUAUGAUGCUCCAGGUAUAUAUGUACCUCCAUGUAUAUGUUCAGCUAUAAAUGUUGCUAUGCAUGUCAAACACCAUCCCAGGAGACUAAAUGUGUUGCAGGCCCGAUGGAGGGGACAAAUGUUGCCGACGAUGUUGACAAUAUAUACCCAAGUGGUCCAGGGGUCUCCGUUGGAACGGAUGAUACUUGAACAGCCCGAUGACAACCGUACAAGUUCAUUCCUAUAUAAUGAAGCUUCGUUGCCGGCUCCGAGUAAUCUGACACAGGAUUAUGGGACAGAUGUAGCACAAAGUGCAAAUGUUGCUGUACAUGCUCAUGGUCGUGAUGCCUUAGAGGUUUUACCUCUGUCGGAUGCAACAUCCGAACACAUAACAACAGGAUCUGUCAUGAAAAAAACAUAA